AUUGAACGCUGGCGGCAGGCCUAACACAUGCAAGUCGAGCGGAGCGGCGAACGGGUGCGUGAUGCCUAGGAAUCUGCCUGGUAGUGGGGGAUCACGUCCGGGAACGGGCGCUAAUACCGCAUACUAUCAGAUGAGCCUAGGUCGGAUUAGCUGGUUGGGGGGGUAAAGGCCUACCAAGGCGACGAUUCGUAACUGGUCUGAGAGGAUGAUCGGUCACACUGGAACUUAGAAACGGUCCAGACUCCUACGGGAGGCAGCAGUGGGGAAUAUUGGACAAUGGGCGAAAGCCUGACCCAGCCAUGCCGCGUGUGUGAAGAAGGUCUUCGGAUUGUAAAGCACUUUAAGUUGGGAGGCGUUACCAACAGAAUAAGCACCGGCUAACUACGUGCCAGCAGCCGCGGUAAUAC
rnacentral:rRNA from 1 species